AUUCAGUUGGUAGAGUACAAAGCUCUUAACCUUGUGGACGUGGGUUCAAGCCCCAU
rfam:Triticum aestivum genome assembly, contig: Triticum_aestivum_CS42_TGACv1_scaffold_457167_5DS